AUGAAAGUACCAAAGAGUUUCAAUGGUUCAGCAUCCUCAAUCUCCAAACAAGAAAGCCUAACCUGCAGACCCAAUGGUUCGGAGAUUAUGCUAGGAUCAGCAAAUAUGUAUGGAAUGAAGAAGGACAACAUAAAGUGGAUAUACUUAUAUGUCUUUAUUGCAAUAUUGGGAGCUCUAGAGUUGUUUGUUAUUGUGACAGGAUGGUGCCUUUUUUUCAGAAAGAGUAACAUGCCCAAAUCAAUGGAGGAUGGAUACAAGAUGAUAAGAAACCAGUUCAGGCGGUUUACAUACAGAGAAUUGAGUGAAGCAACUGGAAAAUUCAAAGAAGAGAUUGGGAGAGGGGGUGCUGGAAUUGUUUAUAGAGGAGUACUUGAAGAUAAGAAAAUAGUGGCAGUAAAGAAACUCACAAAUGUUCAACAGGGAGAAGAGGAAUUCUGGGCAGAAGUGACUCUAAUUGGAAGGAUCAAUCACAUAAAUUUGGUCAGGAUGAUGGGAUUUUGCUCAGAAGGGAAAAACAGAUUGUUGGUAUAUGAGUAUGUGGAGAAUGAGUCACUGGACAAGUACCUCUUUGGUGAGAGAAGUACCGAAAGUCUGCUCGGUUGGAGCCAAAGGAACAAGAUCGCCUUGGGCACAGCAAGGGGUCUUGCUUAUCUUCAUCAUGAAUGCCUUGAAUGGAUAGUCCAUUGUGACGUGAAGCCAGAAAACAUACUCCUAAGUCGAGAUUUCAAUGCCAAAAUAGCGGACUUCGGACUAGCCAAGCUUGCAAAGCGAGAUAGCGCUAACUUCAAUUUCACCCAAAUGAGAGGCACGAUGGGCUACAUGGCACCAGAAUGGGCACUGAAUAUGCCGAUCAAUGCAAAGGUCGAUGUUUACAGCUAUGGGGUUGUGCUUCUGGAAAUUUUGACUGGAACUAGGGUUUCAAGUGGCAUAAUUGCCAACGAAAGACGAAUGGGGUUUCCAGACUUUAUCCAGGAGGCCAAACAGAUUCUGGCUACCGAGAAUAUCAAUGAUCUUGUGGAUGCAAAAUUGAAGGGGCAUUUCGAUCUAGAGCAGGCUACUGCAAUGGUGAGAAUAGCUGUUUCAUGCCUUGGAGACAGAAGCAAGAGGCCGACAAUGGACGAAGUUCUGAAGUCUCUUAUGUCAUAUGAUGAUGAAGACAACCAUCCUGCCUAUUCACAUUGA
rnacentral:rRNA from 1 species